UACAUCACGGACUCACCUCAAUCCCCCCAUUGUUCUAGGUCACACCUGGCUCCAGAAACACAACCCCAGGAUCGAUUGGCGCCUCGGAUCUGUGAUCCUCAUUCAUGUCUCCACGUCCUAGUUGGUUUACCGUCUUCCGUGUUCGUGUGCUGGAUUGUGUUCGUGUUGUCGUCUUCGUGUCAGUGUUCCGGUCUGUUCCUGGUUUCAUCCAUUGACCGUCUUCACCUUCACCUGCGACUUCACCAUCCAGCUCUUCUCACGCCACCGUAGACCUUCGUUUCCAUUGCCUACAUUCUGGACUCUGAUAUCAAUAAACUUCUUCUGAUUGCCUGCAAUUGCUUCCUCCUCUUUUAC
ensembl:lncRNA